rnacentral:sRNA from 1 species
AUCUGCUGGGGACCACGGGCUGGCGGGCUUGGGAGGCAGGCCCGCAGCCGGCUGCCACUCGGCGCCCUGGGGCUCCUCAGAGCCACCCGCGAGCCUGCGCGCUGAACUCGCUGGGUCCGGAUCCGAGUUCAGCAACCUCCCGGGAACCCCACUUUCUCCCGCUCUUCUAUCAGCUGAGAUAAGGCCCAGAAUGACACUGUCUUGGCACAGGAGCUCCAGCUGCUGGGGACCACGGGCUGGCGGGCUUGGGAGGCAGGCCCGCAGCCGGCUGCCACUCGGCGCCCUGGGGCUCCUCAGAGCCACCCGCGAGCCUGCGCGCUGAACUCGCUGGGUCCGGAUCCGAGUUCAGCAACCUCCCGGGAACCCCACUUUCUCCCGCUCUUCUAUCAGCUGAGAUAAGGCCCAGAAUGACACUGUCUUGGCACAGGAGCUCCAGUAAAGCACCUACAUAUUUGCACUGACAGCUACAUCCUUUCUCUCAAGUCUUGGCUUACACACAUAAAGGUAGAGAAAAAAAACCCAAAUCAAAAACCCUCCAUACAGCUAUUUAAACCUGACCUGAGAGCACACGACACGGACAGCUCUAAUCAGCGAACAACGUAGGUCCUAACAGUCUAACGGAGUGCAGAUUAAAGAAAGCUAUUGUCUGCCGUUCGCAUCCUCAGUAUGUUUUCUUAAGCCCCACCUGCAGUUGCUACCACUCUCUAUGCUCUCAGAACCACAUUGUGUAAGAAGAAAAUCAUUUCCUGCAAGCUGUCUUCUGACCCGCAAACAUACUGCCUGUUCCACAGAUCACAAAUAAGUAGGUAAGUAAAUAUAGAUAUACAUGUUUUUGUUUUUAAUAUGAGAAAAUCCCAUAAUCUAUUUUUCCUCCUAGACAGGGUUUCUCUGUAUAGCCUUGGCUGUCCUGGAACUCACUCUGCAGACCAGGCUGGCCUUGAACUUACAGAGAUUCACCUGCCUCCGGAGUGCUGAGAUUAAAGGUGUGGCCAUCACUGCCUGGCUAAAAUUCCAUACUUUAUUUACCCAUUUUACUACUGAUGGGUACACAUGCUUUUUUCAGUCUGAAGAUACUACAUUGAGUUGUUGUUUACGGUCUUGGAUAAUAAAAACUUCCGUUUUGUUUAAGUAAUACUGAAAGUGCCAAGCUGGAAUUACUGGCUCACAGUGUAGGCCUAUGCUUAACCUGAAAGGAACUGCACACUUUCUAAGGUGCCUGUGCUCUUAUUUAUUCCCAACAAUUCAUGACUCUUCUCACUGCCCACACAGCCAAAUGGAACAAAUGCCAUGAAGUUUGAGUUUGAUUUACUUGAGAAAGAGACAAGUACCAGGAUGCGCCUUCGCCCACUAUGGAAGAGUCACAUGAAAAGGCUGAACCACGAGUGCUUUGCACACUAGCACUAAUACAAAUACAGUGAUGUGAUGACACUGACUAGAAAGAGAAGAACUAUAGCUUCUUAUCUUUGUAAUUUAAUAUAAACAUUCUAUUACUAAUUGCUAUACUGUUCAGAGAAUAAUGAUUGGGGAAUAGGUUUACUAGAGAUGCAAUUUAAAAAUUAGAUUUGUGGCUUUGCUUUGUUGGGCCAAACUUGCCAGAUUUUUUUGUUUUGUUUUGUUUUGUUUUGCUUUGUUUUUCCAGUUUGCUCUCUUGCUCACUUCCCUUUCUAUCCGUGUAGGGCUCCAGACUACCUUGGGGGAAUCAGAGAGGAGGUCAGAGCCAAAGUCUUUUCGAUAAAGCACUGGGACGACACAGCAGCCUAUUUGGACAGACUGACUGCCGUCCUUCCCAAGCAGAGGAUCCUCCCGCACGGGAAGAUGGCCCUUCUUCCUUCCUCCCUCCCUUCCCUCUCUCCCUCUUGACCAUUUUCCCUCUUCCACUGUACACUCAAUAAAAUAAAGUAAAUAAAUGAAAUCUCAAGUUAUUUAUUUGUUUGAGCUACCUAAAUUCUCUCUUAACAUCUGCACCUCCCCUCCAAAAACUUUUUUUGUUUUGUUUUGUUUUUGCUUCUCUUGGCUACUCUAGAGCGAGCUCUGUAGAUCACUCCAGCCUGCAGCUCACAGAGACACACCGACCUGCUCUGCCUUCCUCCUGAUGCUGGGACUAAUGCACUACCACUGCCUAGCUUGAAAAAUAGAUUUUUAAAAAUCGAUUUUAUCGGGGUUGGGGAUUUAGCUCAGUGGUAGAG